CCGGAGAGGGAGCCUGAGAAAUGGCUACCACAUCUAUGGAUGGCAGCAGGCGCGCAAAUUACCCAAUCCCGACCUGGGGAGGUAGUGACAAUAAAUAACAAUGCGGUUCCUUCUUUGGUUCUGCAAUUGGAAUGAGAACAAUCUAAACACCUUAACGAGGAGCAAUUGGAGGGCAAGUCUGGUGCCAGCAGCCGCGGUAAUUCCAGCUCCAAUAGCGUAUAUUAAAGUUGUGCAGUUAAAAGCUCGUAGUUGGAUUUCGGAGCGGUCGGGUUGGUCCGCCCAACGUGUGUGCACUGCCUUGGUGGUAUGGCUAGGGUAUGCCUCUUUCACGAGGGGCUGCCUUCAGUCUGCCGCCCUUGUUGCGUGUACACGUAGCAAGUGACCGUUCUUCUCCCUCGGAGACGGAGUCUGUCCUUCAGUGGAUGGGCUUUGGAUGCGAGGUGUUUACUUUGAAAAAAUUAGAGUGUUCAAAGCAGGCCUUAUCUUCGCUUGAAUACAUUAGCAUGGAAUAAUGGAAUAGGACUCUGUGCCUAUUUUGUUGGUUUGAAGGCAGAGAGUAAUGAUUAAUAGGGACAGUUGGGGGCAUUCGUAUUUAAUUGUCAGAGGUGAAAUUCUUGGAUUUCUGAAAGACGAACAACUGCGAAAGCAUUUGCCAAGGAUGUUUUCAUUAAUCAAGAACGAAAGUUAGGGNGUUCGAAGACGAUCAGAUACCGUCGUAGUCCUAACCAUAAACAAUGCCGACUAGGGAUCAGCGUACGUUCGUUCUAUGGGNACGUCGUUGGCACCUUACGAGAAAUCAAGAGUUUUUUGGGUUCUGGGGGGGAGUAUGGUCACAAGGCUGAAACUUAAAGGGAAUUUGACGGGAAGGGCACCACCAGGAGUGGAGCCCUGCGGCUUAAUUUGACUCAACACGGGAAAACUCACCCAGGGUCCGGGACAUAGUGAGGAUUGACAGAUUGAGAGCUUCUUUUCUUGAUUCUAUGGGUGCUGA
rnacentral:rRNA from 1 species